rnacentral:rRNA from 1 species
AGCACAGAGGAGCUUGCUCCUUGGGUGACGAGUGGCGGACGGGUGAGUAAUGUCUGGGAAACUGCCCGAUGGAGGGGGAUAACUACUGGAAACGGUAGCUAAUACCGCAUAACGUCGCAAGACCAAAGAGGGGGACCUUCGGGCCUCUUGCCAUCGGAUGUGCCCAGAUGGGAUUAGCUAGUAGGUGGGGUAACGGCUCACCUAGGCGACGAUCCCUAGCUGGUCUGAGAGGAUGACCAGCCACACUGGAACUGAGACACGGUCCAGACUCCUACGGGAGGCAGCAGUGGGGAAUAUUGCACAAUGGGCGCAAGCCUGAUGCAGCCAUGCCGCGUGUAUGAAGAAGGCCUUCGGGUUGUAAAGUACUUUCAGCGAGGAGGAAGGGGAUGUGGUUAAUAACCGCAUUCAUUGACGUUACUCGCAGAAGAAGCACCGGCUAACUCCGUGCCAGCAGCCGCGGUAAUACGGAGGGUGCAAGCGUUAAUCGGAAUUACUGGGCGUAAAGCGCACGCAGGCGGUCUGUCAAGUCGGAUGUGAAAUCCCCGGGCUCAACCUGGGAACUGCAUCCGA